rnacentral:lncRNA from 1 species
UCGCUGUGAAUCUCUGGCAGACCCAAACGACAGGUUCAGAUACAGUGAGAUUUCCUUCAUGGCAAAUCUAAGCUCCACCCCCGGAGCGCCGCUAUGCAGGCCACACUCAGAGAAAUAGAGAAGACAAUCGCGGAACAAGCGUGUGUGUUAGCAAAUUGCAUAUCUCGUAAGAAAGCUAAUUAUGAAAUUUGCUUUCAUCAUGUCCCUAAAGACGUAAGUGUCCAAGAGUUGAAUAGCUCCUAUGUUACCUGUUACUUCUACUAAACAUGCAAUGUUAGGCUACAAGCUAACACCUCAAGACUCAAAGUCGAAUUGCUAUUGAGCUACUGGAGCUCUGCAGAAGAAAAGACCUUGAAAAUGACACGAGGUAACGUGAUUUUUGGCUGAAAACUUCAUAAUAAAAUGGAAUAAAAUAAUAAAACUUUAAAGAGUCGAGACUGGGAGGGGGGUCGAGCUGCUGCCUGCCAAAAUCCACACUCAAAACCAUUCAUUCAAAGCAAGGAAACACACCAGCUUAAGCUAUCCUUAUCUUUGUCUCCUACACGUUUCCUAAUUUGCGUCUGAAAUAUUCAUGCUAUGUUUUCAACUGAAGCGCAACUGCUUCCAUAACUGGUGAUUUAUGUGACAUGACGUUCCUCCAACACACUGAGUCUGACUUAUAUCCAUUUUUUAUGGCUAUGUAUGCACAUCUGUACAUUUAUGCAUAUUCCACUCACAAAAACUACAGGAUUAAUGAUCAUGAAAUCAGGGUGAUUACAUCUAGAAAAUCCCAUGAUACUCUUUAGUGCCAAUUAUGAAUGAUAGCUUAUUGAAAUUGGUGCCAUUUGCGAGGCUGUUUAUCCUCAGUUUUGUUUGUGGGGUUCAUUCAGGUUCAAAGUUUUCGUGACCUGUCGUCGUGCCACUUCAGGGGUCUUGGCAGUCAAGGAGACGGAGGAGUCAAAGUAAAUCUAAUUUUGUGUCUCUGUGAAAACAGCUAAGCAGGUUUGACUUGCAUGCCCUCUUAGCCGUGGUUAUCCUCUCAGCUGCCAUAGGAACAACUGAAUAAAUGAGUCUGAAGGCAACAGUUUGGUGUCGGUCCAUUUUCUGCUGCUUGUACUUGUGUAAAACAUUGAUUUCAAGGUGAAGUCUUUGUGACCCUACCAAUUGGUGAACACUUUGAUUUAGUACCCUGUUGCCCUCCACCAUUUUCCCUAUAACAAUUAACCUGCUACAGAGUGGCCAUAUGACUAAUAGAAAAACAGAGUCAGGUAAUACAAAACAGUCACACAAACACUUUCCCUUUCAGUUUGCAUGUCUUUUUACAUCAAUCAUACAUGAAUAUUAUCACUCUAACCCUGGAUGCUAUGUUUUGUGUGUUUAGAAGAAAGGCGGGCCUGUCAGGGACAAUAUUUAUUGUGUACGAUGUGCGGUGCUCAUGUCUCAGACGUCGUCUCUAAGGCUUAAUGUAAACGUGUAUGUACGUUGCUUCACCGUUUAGUGACACUCCUGAAACACAGCUCGUAGAAACAAGGGGGGAAGUGGUGAUUUAAAAGAUAAAAUCAUACAAAAAUAUCUACAAAUGGAAGAGUAAGAUUUCUCUCUCUCUAUCUAUCUAUCUAUCUAUCUAUCUUGUCUACAUGUUAAUAUGGCAUUUUUCUGAUGCUAGAGAACAUAUGAGAAAAAUAAGUGCAAACUUACAUUUCUGAGUAUUUCGCUGUGGUUCUCUAACAAACCCAAACGACAGGUUCAACUACAGUGAGAUUUCCUAUGUCACAAAUCCAAGCUCCGCCCCCCAGCUCCACUAUGCAGGCCACACUUGGAGAAAUAAAGAGGACGAUCGCAGAAUAAGCGUGUGCAUUGGCGGAUUGCAAUGUUCAUAGGACAGCUAAUUAUGAUGUUAGCUUUCAUCAUGCCCAGAAAUACAUUAGCUUCCAGGAGCUGAAUAACUCCAAUGUUACCUGCUACUUCUACUACACCGGCGAUGUUAGGCUGCAAGCUUGCGUGAAGAGGAGUGUGCAGAGCAGUGCUGUCUCCGCCAACGACUCAGAGGUGAAUUACUAAUGAGCUACUGGAGCUCUGCAGAAGAAAAACACUUGAAAAUGACACAGGUAACAUGAUAUUGGCUAAAAACUUCAUAAUCACAAUUUAAAAACCACUGAUAACACUUUAAAUUGUUUUUUAAAAAAUGAUCGGAGCAGGACUUUAAAGAUUUAAAGUAAGUGCCCCCUUACCCUAAUCAUAACACCUUCUGCCCUUACCUCAACCCUAACAUACCUGAUUGGAUCCUGAAUAUCAAGUUAUCAAUUAGUGCCCAGAGCUUCUGUGUAAAAGUUGUUUGGGCUGCAGUUCUUGUGUUUUCACCCAGGAGACUAGCAGGCAUUCAUUCGUUGCAGAAAGGAUGAGAAACUCUGGUAUUGGAAAUCUCUUUUUAUUAUUUCAACCUUUUAUUUCCAAACCAUUUUUUUCCCCAACAAAUGACUGCGGCCCUUUAAAAACGGCUUUUCAACUAAAAAGAAGCGCUCUGGGUCAUUCCAGUCCAGAUCCUUAAUCUAUGUUUUGUCUGCUUUGCUGAUGUUUUGUCACCUUUCCUCGAACCACACCAGUUUUCAGUUGUUUGUCUCUGCUAGGGUCCAUUUCCUGAUUUCUAGGCUACACCAUCUGUGUUAAGACCUGUGUCCAGCUGUUGUUUGUGUUUCCCCUUUUCCAAGAAAUACUUAUUAUGCUUGUGCUCCUCUUCUGACUUGGAAGGUUACGUACAUCCAACCCUAAUGCCAAAUGCCAUACCAAGGU